rnacentral:rRNA from 1 species
CAGCAGCCGCGGUAAUACGGAGGGUGCAAGCGUUAAUCGGAAUUACUGGGCGUAAAGCGCACGCAGGCGGUUUGUUAAGUCAGAUGUGAAAUCCCCGGGCUCAACCUGGGAACUGCAUCUGAUACUGGCAAGCUUGAGUCUCGUAGAGGGGGGUAGAAUUCCAGGUGUAGCGGUGAAAUGCGUAGAGAUCUGGAGGAAUACCGGUGGCGAAGGCGGCCCCCUGGACGAAGACUGACGCUCAGGUGCGAAAGCGUGGGGAGCAAACAGGAUUAGAUACCCGCGUAGUCCCUGUCUCUUAUAA